GCGAUUCCAGCUUCAUGCACUCGAGUUGCAGAGUGCAAUCCGGACUACGAUCGGUUUUCUGGGAUUAGCUCCCCCUCGCGGGUUGGCAACCCUCUGUUCCGACCAUUGUAUGACGUGUGAAGCCCUACCCAUAAGGGCCAUGAGGACUUGACGUCAUCCCCACCUUCCUCCGGUUUGUCACCGGCAGUCUCAUUAGAGUGCCCUUUCGUAGCAACUAAUGACAAGGGUUGCGCUCGUUGCGGGACUUAACCCAACAUCUCACGACACGAGCUGACGACAGCCAUGCAGCACCUGUGUUCAGGUUCCCUUUCGGGCACCCUCCAAUCUCUCGGAGGUUCCUGACAUGUCAAGGGUAGGUAAGGUUUUUCGCGUUGCAUCGAAUUAAUCCACAUCAUCCACCGCUUGUGCGGGUCCCCGUCAAUUCCUUUGAGUUUUAAUCUUGCGACCGUACUCCCCAGGCGGUCUACUUCACGCGUUAGCUGCGUUACCAAGUCAAUUAAGACCCGACAACUAGUAGACAUCGUUUAGGGC
rnacentral:rRNA from 1 species